UACGAAGGGGGCUAGCGUUGCUCGGAAUCACUGGGCGUAAAGGGUGCGUAGGCGGGUCUUUAAGUCAGGGGUGAAAUCCUGGAGCUCAACUCCAGAACCGCCUUUGAUACUGAAGAUCUUGAGUCCGGGAGAGGUGAGUGGAACUGCGAGUGUAGAGGUGAAAUUCGUAGAUAUUCGCAAGAACACCAGUGGCGAAGGCGGCUCACUGGCCCGGUACUGACGCUGAGGCACGAAAGCGUGGGGAGCAAACAGG
rnacentral:rRNA from 1 species